rnacentral:rRNA from 1 species
UGUUUGAUGUUCUAACGUUGGCCCCUGAUCGGGGUUGCGGACAGUGUCUGGUGGGUAGUUUGACUGGGGCGGUCUCCUCCUAAAGAGUAACGGAGGAGCACGAAGGUUGGCUAAUCCUGGUCGGACAUCAGGAGGUUAGUGCAAUGGCAUAAGCCAGCUUGACUGCGAGCGUGACGGCGCGAGCAGGUGCGAAAGCAGGUCAUAGUGAUCCGGUGGUUCUGAAUGGAAGGGCCAUCGCUCAACGGAUAAAAGGUACUCCGGGGAUAACAGGCUGAUACCGCCCAAGAGUUCAUAUCGACGGCGGUGUUUGGCACCUCGAUGUCGGCUCAUCACAUCCUGGGGCUGAAGUAGGUCCCAAGGGUAUGGCUGUUCGCCAUUUAAAGUGGUACGCGAGCUGGGUUUAGAACGUCGUGAGACAGUUCGGUCCCUAUCUGCCGUGGGCGCUGGAGAACUGAGGGGGGCUGCUCCUAGUACGAGAGGACCGGAGUGGACGCAUCACUGGUGUU